UACGGAGGGGGCGAGCGUUGUCCGAAGUUACUGGGCGUAAAGGGCGCGUAGGCGGGGUGUCACGUCCGCUGUGAAAGCCUGGAGCUUAACUCCAGCGGGUCGGUGGAUACGGACACUCUUGAAGGCAUUAGGGGAAGAUGGAAUUACCCAUGGAGCGGUGAAAUGCGUAGAUAUUGGGAGGAACACCAGUGGCGAAAGCGGCUACCUGGACCGGAACUGACGCUGAUGCGCGAAAGCGUGGGUAGCAAACAGG
rnacentral:rRNA from 1 species